rnacentral:lncRNA from 1 species
CUCAAAACCUUUCCCUGGUGUGGUCAUUCUGACCUUGGGGAGGAGCUGGAGCCACACGGGGCCAGAGCCGGGGAAGAAAGUGAGCGAGGACAGAGCGUCACGCUUCUGAGAGCUCCCUUUCUGUUGGAUGGCACGGGGCGGCAACAUUCACCGCAUUUUCGACCAUUCCUCGGAAAGACAGCAGGGGGAGAGGACUUCUUAACCUUUGGGGAAAAGUCCUCCAUGGCGCUGUCCAGCCCGGGUGUCCCCUUGCACGGCUCAGCUCUAUCCCUUGUUAGCGUUGCGUGGGAUGGUGCAGAACCGACCCACACUCAGCAGUAAGCAGCCUUGGACUCCGGACGUGACCGUUUCCCUGGCGGGCACCCUGGGUGCUGUGCGUGGUGAGUUUACACAGCACAGCCGCCGGCUUGCCUGGCCUUCGAGGGCUGGCUCCCCACCGCCGGUGCCUCUGAAUGACGGCCGCGCCCCUGGAGCCGCUCCAUCCCGGCCACCGCUUUUCUGCUUUAUCUUCAGUGACUCAGCCGGGUGGCCGCUUGGAGCAGCCGUCAAGCGCAGGCCGAGGUCAGCUCAGGCUACUGGGCUUGCCGGAGAGGCAGACUUGCUCUUUGUGGGGCAGAAAGAGCAUUGCUGUGCUUCACACUGA